CCCAGUGCAACCAAUAAGAAAAUAACUGAAAAAUAUAUUAAAAGAAAUUACAAGAUAAUUAAAAUGGUACACUAGGCAAUACCUAUUGGCAAAAAAGAAGACAGUAAUGAAGGAAUAGAAGAAUAAAAAAGACACAAUGACAUACAGAAAACAAAUAGCAAAAUGGCAGACAUCAAUCAUACAUUAUCAAAAACCUUAUGUGUUCAGCCAUAUUGAGAAGAGUUCUAACAGAGAAUUCAAAAAAGGAUUUUGUAAGUACAUAGAAAAUUAUGCAAAUAACAAAAGGUAAUUAACACCAAGAAAAAUGAAAUUUGUGUAAGGAAUGGCAUGUAAUUCAUCUUUGAGAAAUAUUUAUGUAAUCCUAGUAAUGUAAACCCCUGUACAAUGAGCCAAACUUGUGGUCUUCUGAAAGAAGAAGUGGAAGGAUGUGUGAAUGUACAUCUGUGUGUGUGGGUGGAGAAAGAUAAGAGAAAUAAACAUUUAUCUUCCUAAACAGCGGGCCCAUGAAUAUAAAAAAUGGAAACACCAAAUACAGCUAAGAGACUUGAAGUGGUUGCCUUUGUGUCGGUCAGAAAAGAGACAUCCGUUACCACCUCCAGGAGUGGGGACCUCACUGCAUGAGGGGAGCAAAAGGCUUAACAACGAAUGGCACCAGGAACAACAGCCCCAGGGACCCACUCUCCUCAGGGUCUGCAGGUGUGGGGUGUCACCAGCAAAACCCCGACUCCCACAGGCACUGGAUACAGCAGCAUUUAUUCACGUGGAGGAAAGUCAGAGCAAGGUCAGCUUCACUAGCGGGAGUCAGCCCCCCAGGGCCAGCAAGUAUCAAUCUGCAGUGAAACAGCAGGUGAAGGUGACUGGAGUGUUAUCAAUGCUGAAAUGUUGAAGCUCUGUGGCUUUUCUCUCUCUGGUAGGAUAAGAGGAUGAUAAAGGGACCCCAGCCAACUACCUCAGAUCUCAAACUCUCCCUCAGCACCAAACUCUUCUGGUAACCCAACUCUACAAAACAAACCAAGAAAGAGAAUUCACUGGGUCCAUACCUAGCCCAGGCUGAAGCGGAGAGGCUGUGGAAAAAAUGAAUGAGGAGGGAAUAGGAAAUCUUCUCCACCCUGCGACAGAGCCAGUGGAGGAAAAGGGGGGAAAGGUGGUUCCAGUGUGGACAUGUGACCCAAACCAGAGCAACCAGUCUUCUCUAAGAUGUUUGUUUAUAGGCAUGAUGAGAGGGUUCUAUUCCUCUGGGAUUGCAAGUCAUAAGGAUCGUGUAGCUUUUCAGCUGCCACAUGUAAAGAUUCUGCCUGAAAAUGAAGCCAACAGAGAAAAAGCAGGGCCAAGAGAUGAUGAGGGAGUGCAGAGGGCUGACAAUGUCCUUCAAGCAUCUGGAUACAACA